rnacentral:rRNA from 1 species
CAGCCGCCGCGGUAAUACGAAGGGGGCUAGCGUUGUUCGGAAUUACUGGGCGUAAAGCGCACGUAGGCGGAUAUUUAAGUCAGGGGUGAAAUCCCAGAGCUCAACUCUGGAACUACCUUUGAUACUGGGUAUCCUGAGUAUGGAAGAGGUUAGUGGAAUUGCGAGUGUAGAGGUGAAAUUCGUAGAUAUUCGCAGGAACACCAGUGGCGAAGGCGGCUAACUGGUCCAUAACUGACGCUGAGGUGCGAAAGCGUGGGGAGCAAACAGGAUUAGAUACCCGCGUAGUCCCUGUCUCUUAUAC